UUUUGUGUUGAGUCCAAGAGGUUGGGCACAGGAGCAGCUUGGGGUGUAGCCGGACCAGCAAAAACUUACCUUUUGGAUAACGUACUUUUGGAUGCAGUUGCGCCCAGUCCAUCAAAUGGCAGAUGUCCAGAGAUCCUUCUCUUAGAUUUCAGCCAUCGGCGUACUCAAAAUAAUGCCAGGAAAAUAAUACAUUUCGAUUUCGGUCCAGUCACAUGCCACCACUUCCAUCAGCACCACUUCCAACAAAUCCACUGCACAACCUACAUACAAAACACACACAAAAAACCAUCCUAGGAUGAUCGUUAGGCCAGAACCCAGACGGAGCUAGCUAGCACACUGGCCCGCACACCUUUUUGGCCCUCAUCAUGAAACAUUGAAUCGUUGGAAGGUCGCACCACACCCAUCCAUCCAUCCAUCCAUCCAUCCAGCAACACCCCACCAAACGUCGUUUCGGAACUUUGGACAAAAUUCACAUUUGUGUUUAAGUUUAGGUGUAAACAAUAAACAAAAGACAACAAUAGGCUACCGAAAAAAAGUAAAAAA